rnacentral:rRNA from 1 species
UACGUAGGGUGCAAGCGUUAAUCGGAAUUACUGGGCGUAAAGCGUGCGCAGGCGGCGCCGCAAGUCAGGCGUGAAAUCCCCGAGCUCAACUUGGGAAUUGCGCUUGAAACUACGGUGCUGGAGUAUGGCAGAGGGAGGUGGAAUUCCACGUGUAGCGGUGAAAUGCGUAGAGAUGUGGAGGAACACCGAUGGCGAAGGCGGCCUACUGGGCUGCACCUGACGCUGAGCCGCGAAAGCCAGGGGAGCGAACGGG